UGGCUCAGUUGGUAGAGCGUCAGUCUUAUAAUCUGAAGGUCGUCAGUUUGAUCCUGGC
rnacentral:tRNA from 1 species